rnacentral:rRNA from 1 species
GACAGAGGGUGCAAACGUUGCUCGGAAUUACUGGGCGUAAAGCGCGUGUAGGCGGGCUGAUAAGUCGGACGUGAAAGCCCUGGGCUCAACCCAGGAACUGCAUCCGAAACUGUCAGUCUGGAGUGGUGGAGAGGGAAGCAGAAUUCCUGGUGUAGAGGUGAAAUUCGUAGAUAUCAGGAGGAACACCGGUGGCGAAGGCGGCUUCCUGGACACUAACUGACGUGAG